ACAGAUCUCCAUGCCUUUGUCUGUCUCUGUUAGUGACCCAGUCACAUUCAUUUGAAACUUAUGUACAUCUGAAUCUGAACUAUUUAAAUCAAAAGCUACAAAUAACGAAGCUCUGUUACCUACCUAUAUACCGGUAUAUUGAGAAAUACAUGUACUUGCAUUUUGCUUGUGUUAUCUAUUAUAUAACAUUAUGUAGAUAAAGAUACUAGGUGAAAUGUCACCUUGAUGGGAUGUUCAUUCGAUAUCAGAGGUCAGUGUACAUUGAUAUGGUGGAGAUAUACUGGAUAUACCCAGUACUUGGAAUUACAUUAUUUAUUUUAUAUAUUAAAUGUCAAGCAAUGAUUAGAUAUCAUGUAAACAAAAUUUACAGAAAAGGUUUUUAGAAAAUGCUGAAAUAUCGAACCAGAUAUUUUCAAUCCUAAAAAAAAAUUGUGUGCCAUUGUAAAAUAAUUUAUAUAUAUAUGACCUCAUAACUUUUGUCUUUUAUUGAUAUAAUAUAUUUAAGAUAUAAAAAA
rnacentral:misc_RNA from 1 species